ensembl:lncRNA
GUUAGACGAGAGUUUCUUUAUGAACUGGGCCAGUUAUACAACAUGCUGCUGAUGUAACGCCAUAAAACAUUAAAGCAACAGGCAGCGUGGUGCGGCGCCUUCUCUUCUUCUUCUUAUUCUUCUUCUUCUUCUUCUUUUGGCUCGCCUUAGACGGGUUUUUCCCCGUUUAUGAUUCUGCAGUUUACUUUCAGCAACUGUGAAUAUUCACACACAGUACACACACACACACACACACACACACACACACAUACUGCACACACACACACACAUACUGUACACACACAAACAAUACACAUACAUACAGUACACAUACACACACACACACAUACUGCACACACACACACACAUACUGUACACACACAAACAAUACACAUACAUACAGUACACACACACACACACACUGUACACAUACAUACAGUACACACACACACACACACACACACACACAUACUGCACACACACACACACACACACAUACAGUACACACACAAACAAUACACACACAUACAAUACACACACAUACAAUACCACACAAACAAUACACACACAUACAAUACACACACAAACAAUACACACACAAACAAUACACACACAUACAAUACACACACAACAAUACACACACAUACAAUACACACACAUACAAUACACACACAAAACAAUACACCACACAUACAAUACACACACAAACAAUACACACACAAACAAUACACACACAUACAAUACACACACAAACAAUACACACACAUACAAUACACACACAUACAAUACACACACACACACCUGACAGCUGCAGAGGGUUGUGUGUGCUGUUGGUCUUGCUACAGUGAGGUGAUGAUGAUUACUACAAGAGUUUUAGCUGUAAAUCUGCAGUAAAUAAACACUGAUAAUAAAUUCAUAACAAUUCACUCUUCUGACCCCUUCUGCGUUUACACCUUCAGUCACUAGUGAGUUUUUAUCCCGUUUAUGUUACAGUAGAUGAGUUUUUAUCCCGUUUAUGUUACAGUAGAUGAGUUUUUAUCCCGUUUAUGUUACAGUAGAUGAGUUUUUAUCCCGUUUAUGUUACAGUAGAUGAGUUUUAUCCCGUUUAUGUUACAGUAGAUGAGUUUUUAUCCCGUUUAUGUUACAGUAGAUGA